rnacentral:rRNA from 1 species
UACGAAGGGGGCUAGCGUUGUUCGGAAUUACUGGGCGUAAAGCGCGCGCAGGCGGUCUUCCAAGUCAGUGGUGAAAGCCCGGAGCUCAACUCCGGAACUGCCAUUGAAACUGUGAGACUUGAGGAUGAGAGAGGUGAGUGGAAUUCCCAGUGUAGAGGUGAAAUUCGUAGAUAUUGGGAAGAACACCAAUCAGGCGAAGGCAGUUAACUAUUCUAUUCCUGACAUUGAGGCAUGAAAGCGUGGGGAGCAAAACGG